rnacentral:piRNA from 1 species
UUGAUAGUAUCUUUUGCCCUACAAAAGCUU